CGCCUGUGCCUUGAAAUGGGUGUGGCGCUAAGUAUAUCUUGUUUACCUUAUCUUUCUAUGGAAAAAGUUUCCAAGUCUGGUUGGGUUGGCCACAUCAUGCCUGUUGCCUAGCACUACCAAAAGUGUUCUUAUCUAGCACCAAAGACGGGAUAGAUGGAGGUUGUGGCUUGGC
rfam:Myotis lucifugus cont2.12973, whole genome shotgun sequence.